AUCCAACUGACGAUUCUUAAAUAGGACGAAACUCACGUCCUGGAU
rfam:Schistosoma mansoni, Puerto Rico, WGS project CABG01000000 data, contig: 0071